CCACUCCAUUUGCUGUGCGCUCAGUUGAAGAGGACGACCAUACCUGAUAGAGGAGGAUCGGUCCUUGGUCAAGGGUAUAUGAAUAGCUGUCCUCCUCUGCUGGAACUUUUAGACAAGCUCUCAAGAAGCUAGGACUGUUACC
ensembl:misc_RNA 7SK 7SK RNA